UGGGAGGAAAAAAUGUUUUUUGUUGAGUCGUGACUGUUGUGAAAGAGAAGUUUAGUCAUAAAUGGUGAGAGGGGAGUUACUGAUUAGAUUUAUUUACAGAGGCAAAAAAAAUCACUGCUGGGAUGUGCCUGUCAAAAAUGCAUAACUUCAGGGUCGGCUUGGUUAGGUUGUGUUUCGGAGGACGCACGGCUUUCGACCUUCGCCUCUCCUGAGUCCGUACGGAAGUUGCAGCGAUGAGACAAGACUGUAACUAUCUGGGUGAACAGACUGCAGGAGGAAGAGUGGAUCGAAGCCUGAAAGAUGGAGGACUGAACACAGCUAUGUAGACCACCUCAAGAUAAAAACGUAAUAUUUAAUAUCGACACCCAACUCCACCAACACCCUUUGGGCAACAAAGCGCCUGGACCAACAGAACUACUAACAUGACAGACCAAGCCUGGUCCCUUAGCUCAGUGUUUAUCUCAAUUUUUUGGUUACUAUAACCCCUAUCAUAUGAUUUUACCGUUGGGGAUUAUUAAAGUACUAAUAUACUGCCUUAUGUUAAUUUUACCAUUAGACAUACUGUAUGUUCUUACAAGUUCAGUGUUUUGCCCCCUGUGAAUAGCCUACUACACAAUUGAAUCUUCUAUGUUCGACCAAUGUUUGAUUGUUGUUUAAGAAAAGUAUUAAAAUCAAUCUUUUUUUCCAAAAUGUAAAAUCAA